UACGGAGGGCGCAAGCGUUAUCCGGAUUCACUGGGCUUAAAGGGUGCGUAGGCGGUCGGGUAAGUCUGAUGUGAAAUCUCACAGCUUAACUGUGAAACUGCAUUGGAUACUAUCCGGCUCGAGGAAUGGAGGGGAGACUGGAAUACUUGGUGUAGCAGUGAAAUGCGUAGAUAUCAAGUGGAACACCAGUGGCGAAGGCGAGUCUCUGGACAUUUCCUGACGCUGAGGCACGAAAGCCAGGGGAGCAAACGGG
rnacentral:rRNA from 1 species